rnacentral:rRNA from 1 species
AUUGAACGCUGGCGGCAUGCCUAACACAUGCAAGUCGAACGGCAGCAUGGUCUAGUUUACUAGAUUGAUGGCGAGUGGCGGACGGGUGAGUAACGCGUAGGAAUAUGCCUUAAAGAGGGGGAUAACUUGGGGAAACUCAAGCUAAUACCGCGUAAUCUCUGAGGAGAAAAGCUGGGGACCUUCGGGCCUGGCGCUUUAAGAAUCGCCUGCGUACGAUUAGCUAGUUGGGGAGGUAAGGGCUCACCAAGGCGACGAUCGUUAGCUGGUCUGAGAGGAUGGCCAGCCACACUGGGACUGAGACACGGCCCAGACUCCUACGGGAGGCAGCAGUGGGGAAUAUUGGACAAUGGGGGCAACCCUGAUCCAGCAAUGCCGCGUGUGUGAAGAAGGCCUGAGGGUUGUAAAGCACUUUCAGUGGGGAGGAGGAUUGAUUGGUUAAGAGCUGAUUAAUUGGACGUUACCCACAGAAGAAGCACCGGCUAACUCCGUGCCAGCCGCCGCAGUAA